AAAAUUUAUAUUAAAAAUUUAAUUUUCUCGAAUUUAGAAGAGCUACUUUUCUAUUUAUUUUAUUGUUAAAAAAAUAUUUAUAAUAUGACAGUAGUAAUGAAAUGUUAUUCGUUUCUAAAUAUAUCUAGUUUUUUAAGAAAAAAAUUUAAUUUUAUUUAUUUUAAAAAUUUACUUUAUUUUUAGUUUAUUUUUGGAACAAGGAAAUAUUUAGGGGGAUGAGCUUCUAAAUAAAUUUUUAUAAAUAAUUAUUUAUAUUUAAGAUAAGUAGGAUUAGAAAUUUCUAUCUUUGGGAGGGUGUUAUAACUGAUUUUGUUAAUUUUAUUAUUUUUAUUUGUUUUAAGUUUUUUAUUAAAAUUUAUUUUUAAAUUUUAAUUAUUUAGUAAUAAUGAUUGAAUUAGUAUAAAUUAUUUAUUUAUAAUUAUUUAUAAUUUGAUAGGUAAAAUAAAGGAAUUCGGCAAAAUAUUUUUCACCUGUUUAUUAAAAACAUGUCCUUUUGAUUAUUAUUUAAGGUCUAGCCUGCCCACUGAGUAGUUAAAUGGCCGCGGUAUUCU
rnacentral:rRNA from 1 species